CACACUACUAAAUUUAAAGUCAAAAGUAUACCCUAUUUCAAGUUUUAACUUUUGAACACUGGUAUACUACUGUUGCCUUUAAGAUACAAUAUGUUGACAAACAAAGGGUGAGUGCCAUUUAAUAAGUACAUUUUUUAACCCUAGCAUUAAUUUCUGAGGAGACCUGUAUGUGUUCUGUACUAGAUAAACAUUGGUGUUAAUAUCCAACAUAUCCUCAUUUAACCGUGGCAAUUUAAAUGUACUCCCAUCAAUCCUUGCCUACUUUCUUUGCAGAACCUACCAAUUAUCAGUUUCAAAAUCCAAAGGAUUAACAGAAAUUACUUGGUUAAUACCCCAAAAUGAAAAUGAUAUGAUGUCCUGUCAUUGGCUGAAUUUCCAUUGUUUAUGAAGUCGUUUGGCAAAUAACAAUGUAUUGGUGAAUUCUCUUGAAAAUAUUACCCACAAUGCAUAACAUUCUGAAGCAGCUUAUUGAAUAAAUUAUUAAUACAUUCUUUUGAAUAUGCAUGAAAUAUUUAUGACUGUACAUUUAACAUUAGC
rnacentral:lncRNA from 1 species